GGAUUUUACACAAAAGGAAGGCUGCAGAAGAUGUUACUAAUGCGAAGCAUGAAGAUGCCUCGACUAAGAGAUGUGCUUCAAUAAUGGAAGGUCCGUCGUGUUCCUUUCUGCCUCACGGAAACAGCCAUCAGAGUCCGAAGAGAGCUAAAUCCUCUUCUGACUGUCCUGAAGACCAGAUUAGUGGGGCUCCAGAUGUAGCAGGUGAAGAGAGAAGUGAAGGGAUCUCAGAAGCUUCCUCCUUGAACUCUAGAUUAGUAGAAAAAAUGUCUUCAGAUAAUGUCAUAGCAUUGAUAGGUCAAGAGAUAUUCUGGAAAACAAGAAGAACCAUUGCACACCAGCAGCGGAUCUUUGCAAUACAACUAUUUGAGCUACACAGACUAACACAGGUUCAGAAAAUGAUAGCCAGAUCACCAGAUAUAUUUUUCAAAGACAACUUCUAUCUCCACCAACCUUCUAUCAAAUUUUCUUCUUUGAAGAAUUUAGCAUGUGAUGAUGUUCUUGAACCUCCUGUCGUGGAACAAAAAAUUUCUACAAAACCAAACAAUUUUGAGCUUACGACAGAUAAUGUUUAUCUUCCCCUCCGCAAAGAUAAUGAUAAGAAGAAUAUACCACAGCAAUCAUCUCAAAAACUAAA
rnacentral:misc_RNA from 1 species